rnacentral:lncRNA from 1 species
CACGCUUCUCCACGGUUGUUGCUUCCUGAUCGGCUCUGCUAUUAAGAAAUGGGUUUCUUCAUGGCUGUGCGUCAUGUACAUUUAUGACAGAUAGCGCAUCUGUGUUUGUUACUCUAUCCUGGCUACAGGGGCCAGGCAAGGAAGCUCAGGAUGAAAGGUUUCUUUCCUCCCGACAGGUCCCGGUGACUCCGAUGGCACAGCCAGGACACCUUGCCGGCUGGGAGCGUGCAGCCGGGUCAGGAGCCGCUGACAGAGGCUGGGACAGUAAGAAUUCUCACCCCCGUCAGCCCUCCUGGCUAUCUACCUGCACCAAGCAGUUCAGAGAAGCGAUACCACCAAGAGAUCUGGAGUGA